rnacentral:misc_RNA from 1 species
AGUCGUAACAAGGUAGCCGUAGGGGAACCUGCGGCUGGAUCACCUCCUUAAUCGACGACUCAGCUGCGCCAUAAGCACCCACACGAAUUGCUUGAUUCAUUGAAGAAGACGAUUAGAAGCAGCUUUAAGCUCCAAGCUGAUAGCUCAACGCUAGCGGCUACAAGCUCGAAAUUGGGUCUGUAGCUCAGUUGGUUAGAGCGCACCCCUGAUAAGGGUGAGGUCGGCAGUUCGAAUCUGCCCAGACCCACCAAUUUUGUGUGGGAAACGCCUGUAGAAAUACGGGGCCAUAGCUCAGCUGGGAGAGCGCCUGCCUUGCACGCAGGAGGUCAGCGGUUCGAUCCCGCUUGGCUCCACCACUUACUGCUUCUGUUUGAAAGCUUAGAAAUGAGCAUUCCAUUGAUCCUGAUGAUCAGUGCAUGAAUGUUGAUUUCUAGUCUUUGAUUAGAUCGUUCUUUAAAAAUUUGGGUAUGUGAUAGAAAGAAAUAGACCGGGCACCUCUUUCACUGGUGUGUGUCCGGGCUAAGGUAAAGUUUGUGAAUGCAAACUUUCGGCGAAUGUCGUCUUCACAGUAUAACCAGAUUGCUUGGGGUUAUAUGGUCAAGUGAAGAAGCGCAUACGGUGGAUGCCUUGGCAC